rnacentral:rRNA from 1 species
UACGUAGGGGGCAAGCGUUGUCCGGAUUCAUUGGGCGUAAAGAGCGUGUAGGCGGCCUGGAAGGUCAGCUGUGAAAACUCGAGGCUCAACCUCGAGACGUCGGUUGAAACCACCUGGCUAGAGUCCGGAAGAGGAGUGUGGAAUUCCCGGUGUAGCGGUGGAAUGCGUAGAUAUCGGGAGGAACACCUGUGGCGAAAGCGGCUCACUGGACCACAACUGACGCUGAGGCGCGAAAGCUAGGGGAGCAAACAGG